rnacentral:rRNA from 1 species
CAAAAUGACUCUCGGCAACGGAUAUCUCGGCUCUUGCAUCGAUGAAGAACGUAGCGAAAUGCGAUACUUGGUGUGAAUUGCAGAAUCCCGUGAACCAUCGAGUCUUUGAACGCAAGUUGCGCCCGAAGCCAUUAGGUUGAGGGCACGCCUGCCUGGGUGUCACA